AAAAUGUCCAUAGGAAAGCAUUGAGAAAUGCUUUCCUAUGGACUGUUUGAAUGCGCGCGCGGCUCCUGCCGCGCAUUCCGCUCCACUCGGGAGCUGACGUCGGCGGGGAGGAGAGGUCACCAGCGCUGAGGGAGCCUGGCGCUGGAUUAAGGUAAGUGGCUGAAGGGGUUUUAGCCCCUUCAGCCCAGCGGGAGGUGGACCCUGAG